rnacentral:rRNA from 1 species
UCCGGCAUGUGCCCCCGUUCUUCGGAAUCACUGGGCUUACAGAGUCCGUAGGCGGCAUGUUAGGUGAGGUGUGAAAUCCCCCGGCUCAACCGAGGAAUUGCGCUUCAAACCGGCGUGCUCGAGGAAGAUAGAGGUGGGCGGAACUGAUGGUGGAGCGGUGAAAUGCGUUGAUAUCAUCAGGAACACCGGAGGCGAAGGCGGCCCACUGGGUCUUUUCUGACGCUGAGGGACGAAAGCUAGGGGAGCGAACGGG